CCUACGGGCGGCAGCAGUGGGGAAUAUUGGGCAAUGGGCGCAAGCCUGACCCAGCAACGCCGCGUGAAGGAAGAAGGCCCUCUGGUUGUAAACUUCUUUUUACAAGGACGCAGAAAGUGACGGUACCUGUUGAAUAAGCCACGGCUAACUACGUGCCAGCAGCCGCCGGAAUACGGAGGUGGCCAGCCGUAUCCGGAUUUACUGGGUGUAAAGGGCGUGUAGGCGGGAGAGCAAAUCAGACGUGAAAUUCCAGGGCUCAACCCCUGAACAGCGUUUGAAACUGGUCUUCUUGAGUGAGCGAGAAGUAGGCGGAAUGCGGGGUGUAGCGGUGAAAUGCGUAGAUAUACGGCAGAACUCCAGUUGCGAAGGCGGCAUGCCGGA
rnacentral:rRNA from 1 species